rnacentral:misc_RNA from 1 species
GAUGAAGAACGUAGCGAAAUGCGAUACGUAAUGUGAAUUGCAGAAUUCCGUGAAUCAUCGAAUCUUUGAACGCACAUUGCGCCCCUUGGUAUUCCGAGGGGCAUGCCUGUUCGAGCGUCAUUAUAACCCCUCAAGCUCAGCUUGGUGUUGGGGCCUGCUGCACUGGCAGCCCUUAAAAUCAGUGGCGGCGCCAUCUGGCUCUAAGCGUAGUAAUUCUUCUCGCUAUGGAGUCCUGGUGGAUGCUUGCCAUCAACCCCCAAUUUUUCUAUGGUUGACCUCGGAUCAGGUAGGGAUACCCGCUGAACUUAAGCAUAUCAAUAAGCGGAGGA